rnacentral:rRNA from 1 species
CAAUAGCGUAUAUUUAAGUUGUUGCAGUUAAAAAGCUCGUAGUUGGAUUUCGGGUGGGACGCAGCGGUCUCGCAUUGCGUUUGUACUGCUGCAGCCCUCCUUCUUGCCGGGGGCGGCCUCUCGGACUUCACUGUCUGGGGGUCAGAAUCGGCGAUGUUACUUUGAGUAAAUUAGAGUGUUCAAAGCAAGCUUACGCUCUGAAUAUAAUAGCAUGGGAUAACACGACAGAACUCUGGCCUAUCGUGUUGGUCUAUAGGACCAGAGUAAUGAUUAAGAGGGACAGUCGGGGGCAUUCGUAUUCCGUUGUCAGAGGUGAAAUUCUUGGAUUUACGGAAGACGAACAUCUGCGAAAGCAUUUGCCAAGGAUGUUUNCAUUGA